rnacentral:rRNA from 1 species
ACGUAGGUGGCGAGCGUUGUCCGGAAUUAUUGGGCGUAAAGGGAGCGCAGGCGGGAAGGUAAGUCUAUCUUAAAAGUGCGGGGCUCAACCCCGUGAGGGGAUGGAAACUAUCUUUCUUGAGUGCAGGAGAGGAAAGCGGAAUUCCUAGUGUAGCGGUGAAAUGCGUAGAUAUUAGGAGGAACACCAGUGGCGAAGGCGGCUUUCUGGACUGUAACUGACGCUGAGGCUCGAAAGCCAGGGGAGCGAACGG